UAUAGCUGCCACACCCUGAAGGCCUCUGAUGCCCUCGGACCUCAGAAGGUAAGCAAGGCCAAGCCUGCUGAGUUCUUGGAUGGGAGUAAGGGACAGACACAA
rnacentral:rRNA from 1 species